GAUGAACGCUGGCGGCGUGCUUAACACAUGCAAGUCGAACGAAGAGCCUUUUUUGAUUUCCGUUGGGAGUGAUGAUUUUGGGAGUGAGUGGCGGACGGGUGAGUAACGCGUGGGUAACCUGCCUUGUACAGGGGGGGGACAGUUGGGAACGGGUGCUACUACCGCAUAAGCGGGCGGGGUCGCAUGCAGCAGUGGGGAAAACACCGGUGGUAUAAGAUGGACCCGCGUGGGAUUUGCCAGUUGGUGGGGUAACGGCCCACCAAGGCGACGAUCCAUAGCCGACCUGAGAGGGUGACCGGCCACAUUGGGACUGAGACACGGCCCAAACUCCUACGGGAGGCAGCAGUGGGGAAUAUUGCACAAUGGGCGAAAGCCUGAUGCAGCGACGCCGCGUGAGCGAAGAAGUAUUUCGGUAUGUAAAGCUCUAUCAGCAGGGAAGAUAAUGACGGUACCUGACUAAGAAGCACCGGCUAAAUACGUG
rnacentral:rRNA from 1 species